GGCCGGUUAGCUCAGUCAGUUAGAACGUGGUGCUGACAACACCAAGGCCGUGGGUUCAAUCCCCGCGCGGUCCC
rnacentral:tRNA from 1 species